GUUGUCAUCUUUUCAUCUUUCUUCUUCAUCCACCGAAAAUGGCUGCAAACAUAGGGCUUUUGAGAGCCGAAACUUUCAGCCACUUAGUUCUCUUGCAAAUUGGGAGAGACGAGAUCUGGACAAAGAAUGAGGGAAAACAAAGUGUUGGGUUAGUCGACUUAAUUAAUUAUUUCAGCGAACGAGGUAUGUUCAUAUGGUUAGUUGACAAUGAUCAAUUAUUAAAUUAGAAAUGAUAUAAUGUAUUAUUAUUACGUACAAUUGUUAUCAAAUCAUGAUAAUAUGAGAUUGAAUUGAAAGAUCAAUUUAAGAAAAA